UACGGAGGGUGCGAGCGUUAUUCGGAAUCACUGGGCGUAAAGCGUGCGCAGGCGGUUUGUUAAGCGAGAUGUGAAAGCCCCGGGCUUAACCUGGGAACGGCAUUUCGAACUGUCAGACUAGAGUGUGGUAGAGGGUAGUGGAAUUUCCUGUGUAGCGGUGAAAUGCGUAGAUAUAGGAAGGAACACCAGUGGCGAAGGCGGCUACCUGGACCAACACUGACACUGAGGUGCGAAAGCGUGGGGAGCAAACAGG
rnacentral:rRNA from 1 species